rnacentral:rRNA from 1 species
UCCAGACUCCUACGGGAGGCAGCAGUGAGGAAUAUUGGUCAAUGGCCGAGAGGCUGAACCAGCCAAGUCGCGUGAGGGAUGACGGCCCUACGGGUUGUAAACCUCUUUUGCCGGGGAGCAAAGAGCGGGACGCGUCCCGCCUCGAGAGUACCCGGAGAAAAAGCAUCGGCUAACUCCGUGCCAGCAGCCGCGGUAAUACGGAGGAUGCGAGCGUUAUCCGGAUUUAUUGGGUUUAAAGGGUGCGUAGGCGGAACAUUAAGUCAGCGGUAAAAUCGAGGGGCUCAACCCCUUUAAGCCGUUGAAACUGGUGAUCUUGAGUGGGCGAGAAGUAUGCGGAAUGCGUGGUGUAGCGGUGAAAUGCAUAGAUAUCACGCAGAACUCCGAUUGCGAAGGCAGCAUACCGGCGCCCAACUGACGCUGAAGCACGAAGGCGUGGGUAUCGAACAGGAUUAGAUACCCGAGUAUCG